UACGAAGGGGGCUAGCGUUGCUCGGAAUCACUGGGCGUAAAGCGCACGUAGGCGGUUCGUUAUGUCGGAUGUGAAAGCCCUUGGCUUAACCCGGAGGAAGUGCAUCCGAAACUGGCGAGCUAGAGUACUAAAGAGGAUCGCGGAAUUCCCGGUGUAGAGGUGAAAUUCGUAGAUAUUCGCAAGAACACCAGUGGCGAAGGCGGACUCACUGGCCCGAUACGUGACGCUGAGGCACGAAAGCGUGGGGAGCAAACAGGG
rnacentral:rRNA from 1 species